rnacentral:rRNA from 1 species
CCUACGGGGUGCAGCAGUGGGGAAUAUUGGACAAUGGGCGAAAGCCUGAUCCAGCCAUGCCGCGUGUGUGAAGAAGGCCUUCGGGUUGUAAAGCACUUUCAGUGGGGAAGAAAGCCUUGGGGCUAAUACCCUCGAGGAAGGACAUCACCCACAGAAGAAGCACCGGCUAACUCCGUGCCAGCAGCCGCGGUAAUACGGAGGGUGCGAGCGUUAAUCGGAAUUACUGGGCGUAAAGCGCGCGUAGGCGGUCUGAUAAGCCGGUUGUGAAAGUCCCGGGCUCAACCUGGGAACGGCAUCCGGAACUGUCAGGCUAGAGUGCAGGAGAGGAAGGUAGAAUUCCCGGUGUAGCGGUGAAAUGCGUAGAGAUCGGGAGGAAUACCAGUGGCGAAGGCGGCCUUCUGGACUGACACUGACGCUGAGGUGCGAAAGCGUGGGUAGCAAACAGGAUUAGAUACCCGGGUAGUC